rnacentral:rRNA from 1 species
GAUGAACGCUGGCGGCGUGCCUAAUACAUGCAAGUCGAGCGAACGGACGAGAAGCUUGCUUCUCUGAUGUUAGCGGCGGACGGGUGAGUAACACGUGGAUAACCUACCUAUAAGACUGGGAUAACUUCGGGAAACCGGAGCUAAUACCGGAUAAUAUUUUGAACCGCAUGGUUCAAAAGUGAAAGACGGUCUUGCUGUCACUUAUAGAUGGAUCCGCGCUGCAUUAGCUAGUUGGUAAGGCAACGGCUUACCAAGGCAACGAUGCAUAGCCGACCUGAGAGGGUGAUCGGCCACACUGGAACUGAGACACGGUCCAGACUCCUACGGGAGGCAGCAGUAGGGAAUCUUCCGCAAUGGGCGAAAGCCUGACGGAGCAACGCCGCGUGAGUGAUGAAGGUCUUCGGAUCGUAAAACUCUGUUAUUAGGGAAGAACAUAUGUGUAAGUAACUGUGCACAUCUUGACGGUACCUAAUCAGAAAGCCACGGCUAACUACGUGCCAGCAGCCGCGGUAAUACGUAGGUGGCAAGCGUUAUCCGGAAUUAUUGGGCGUAAAGCGCGCGUAGGCGGUUUUUUAAGUCUGAUGUGAAAGCCCACGGCUCAACCGUGGAGGGUCAUUGGAAACUGGAAAACUUGAGUGCAGAAGAGGAAAGUGGAAUUCCAUGUGUAGCGGUGAAAUGCGCAGAGAUAUGGAGGAACACCAGUGGCGAAGGCGACUUUCUGGUCUGUAACUGACGCUGAUGUGCGAAAGCGUGGGGAUCAAACAGGAUUAGAUACCCUGGUAGUCCACGCCGUAAACGAUGAGUGCUAAGUGUUAGGGGGUUUCCGCCCCUUAGUGCUGCAGCUAACGCAUUAAGCACUCCGCCUGGGGAGUACGACCGCAAGGUUGAAACUCAAAGGAAUUGACGGGGACCCGCACAAGCGGUGGAGCAUGUGGUUUAAUUCGAAGCAACGCGAAGAACCUUACCAAAUCUUGACAUCCUUUGACAACUCUAGAGAUAGAGCUUUCCCCUUCGGGGGACAAAGUGACAGGUGGUGCAUGGUUGUCGUCAGCUCGUGUCGUGAGAUGUUGGGUUAAGUCCCGCAACGAGCGCAACCCUUAAGCUUAGCUGCCAUCAUUAAGUUGGGCACUCUAAGUUGACUGCCGGUGACAAACCGGAGGAAGGUGGGGAUGACGUCAAAUCAUCAUGCCCCUUAUGAUUUGGGCUACACACGUGCUACAAUGGACAAUACAAAGGGCAGCGAAACCGCGAGGUCAAGCAAAUCCCAUAAAGUUGUUCUCAGUUCGGAUUGUAGUCUGCAACUCGACUACAUGAAGCUGGAAUCGCUAGUAAUCGUAGAUCAGCAUGCUACGGUGAAUACGUUCCCGGGUCU